GAUGAACGCUGGCGGCGUGCCUAAUACAUGCAAGUCGAGCGAACGGACGAGAAGCUUGCUUCUCUGAUGUUAGCGGCGGACGGGUGAGUAACACGUGGAUAACCUACUUAUAAGACUGGGAUAACUUCGUGAAACCGGAGCUAAUACCGGAUAAUAUUUUGAACCGCAUGGUUCAAAAGUGAAAGACGGUCUUGCUGUCACUUAUAGAUGGAUCCGCGCUGCAUUAGCUAGUUGGUAAGGUAACGGCUUACCAAGGCAACGAUGCAUAGCCGACCUGAGAGGGUGAUCGGCCACACUGGAACUGAGACACGGUCCAGACUCCUACGGGAGGCAGCAGUAGGGAAUCUUCCGCAAUGGGCGAAAGCCUGACGGAGCAACGCCGCGUGAGUGAUGAAGGUCUUCGGAUCGUAAAACUCUGUUAUUAGGGAAGAACAUAUGUGUAAGUAACUGUGCACAUCUUGACGGUACCUAAUCAGAAAGCCACGGCUAACUACGUG
rnacentral:rRNA from 1 species